rnacentral:rRNA from 1 species
CCUACGGGUGGCUGCAGUGGGGAAUAUUGGACAAUGGGCGAAAGCCUGAUCCAGCCAUGCCGCGUGUGUGAAGAAGGCCUUCGGGUUGUAAAGCACUUUCAGUGGGGAAGAAAGCCUUGGGGCUAAUACCCUCGAGGAAGGACAUCACCCACAGAAGAAGCACCGGCUAACUCCGUGCCAGCAGCCGCGGUAAUACGGAGGGUGCGAGCGUUAAUCGGAAUUACUGGGCGUAAAGCGCGCGUAGGCGGUCUGAUAAGCCGGUUGUGAAAGCCCCGGGCUCAACCUGGGAACGGCAUCCGGAACUGUCAGGCUAGAGUGCAGGAGAGGAAGGUAGAAUUCCCGGUGUAGCGGUGAAAUGCGUAGAGAUCGGGAGGAAUACCAUUGGCGAAGGCGGCCUUCUGGACUGACACUGACGCUGAGGUGCGAAAGCGUGGGUAGCAAACAGGAUUAGAUACCCUGUAGUC